rnacentral:rRNA from 1 species
AACGCGAAGAACAUUANCAGGGCUUGACAUCCCUCUGACCGGCGCGUAACGGUGCCUUUCCUUCGGGACAGAGGAGACAGGUGGUGCAUGGUUGUNGUCAGCUCGUGUCGUGAGAUGUUGGGUUAAGUCCCGCAACGAGCGCAACCCUUGUCAUUAGUUGCCAGCAGUUCGGCUGGGCACUCUAGUGAGACUGCCGGGGAUAACUCGGAGGAAGGUGGGGAUGACGUCAAAUCAUCAUGCCCCUUAUGUUCUGGGCUACACACGUGCUACAAUGGCUGGUACAAAGAGAAGCGAGACGGUGACGUGGAGCAAAUCUCAAAAACCAGUCCCAGUUCGGAUUGUA